rnacentral:rRNA from 1 species
UACGAAGGGUGCAAGCGUUAAUCGGAAUUACUGGGCGUAAAGCGCGCGGAGGUGGUUUGUUAAGUUGGAUGUGAAAUCCCCGGGCUCAACCUGGGAACUGCAUCCAAAACUGGCAAGCUAGAGUAUGGUAGAGGGUGGUGGAAUUUCCUGUGUAGCGGUGAAAUGCGUAGAUAUAGGAAGGAACACCAGUGGCGAAGGCGACCACCUGGACUGAUACUGACACUGAGGUGCGAAAGCGUGGGGAGCAAACAGG